rnacentral:rRNA from 1 species
CCCUUAGAUGUUCUGGGCCGCACGCGCGCUACACGGAUGCAUUCAACGAGUUUCUUCCUGGUCCGAGAGGAAUGGGUAACCUUUUGAAAGUGCAUCGUGAUAGGGAUAGACUAUUGCAAUUAUUGGUCUUCAACGAGGAAUUCCUAGUAGACGUAGUUCAUCAGACUGCAUCGAUUACGUCCCUGCCCUUUGUACACACCGCCCGUCGCUCCUACCGAUUGAAUGCUCAGGUGAGCCAUUCGGACUUUCAUCAUGCUGGUUUCCAGUUUUGAUGAAGGAAAGUCUUGCGAACCUUAUCAUUUAGAGGAAGGAGAAGUCGUAACA